ACACACACUGGACAAACACAAAUACACACACACUGGAAAAUACACACACACUGGACAAAUACACACACACUGGACAAAUACACACACACUGGACACACACACACACUGGACACACACACACUCUGGACACACACACACACUGGACACACACACACACUGGACAAACACACACACUGGACACACACAUUGGACACACACCCACACACACACACUGGACCGACACACACACACUGAAUACACACACACUGAACAGACACACACACACUGGACACACUCACACAAACACACACUGGACACGGACAGAAACACACACAAACACACCUCACAUACACACACUGAUUACACACUGAAUACACACACAUUGGACACACACACACACACACACUGGACACACACACACACACUGGAAACAAACACAUACAUUGGACACACACACACACACACACUGGACACACACACACACUGGAAACAAACACACACAUUGGACACACACACACACACACACACACAUUUGACACACUCACACACACACACACACACGCACUGGACACUCAGAAACACGCUGGACAAACAAACACACACACACACUGGACACACACACUCAAACACUGAACACACACACACACUGAAACACACACUGGACACAAACACACACACACACACACUCAACACAGACACACAAACUCCACACACACACACACUGGACACACACACACACACACACACUAGACACACACACACAAACACACUAGAUAAAUACACUGGACACACACACACUGGACACGCACACACACACUGGACACGUGCACACACACACUGAACACACACACACACACACUGGACACACACACACACACUCUGGACACACACACACACCACACUGAACACACACAAAACUGUACACACACACACUCACACACACACACUGGACACACACACACUGGACAAACACACACUAGACAAAUACACACACACACUGGACACACAGACACACACUGGACACACACUGGACAAACACACACUGGACAAACACACACUGGACAAACACACACUGGACAAACACACACUGGACAAACACACACUGGACAAAUACACACUGGACAAAUACACACACACUAGACAAACACACACACAAACACAGUGGACACAAACACAGUGGACACACACACACACACACACACACACACACACACACUGGACACACACACACACACACUGGACACACACACACACACACACACACACACACACACACACACACACACACACACUGAACACACACACACUCACACACUGGACUCACAGACACACACUGGACACACACACUCACACACACACACUGGUCACACACACACUGAACACACACACUCUGGACACACACACACACUGGACUCACAGACACACAUUGGACAAAUACACACACACACACACACACACUGGACAAAUACACACACACAAACACAGUGGACAAACAUAUACACACAGGACACACACUCUGGACACACACACAUUCUGGACACACACACACAUGCGCAUCUUUCUAUAGUUGUGAGGACCUCUUACAACAACACUGUUAAAAUACCAAUGUAAUCAUGUGUUGUCUUUUAUGUUGAAAAACUAAUUAUACAAUUAUAUAUAAUUAUAUAUGGACAUACGCUCCAUAGUUGUACAAGUGUACCAGUAUAUAUUGUACUUUUCAUAAUAAAACAUACUUGAAACAAGAAAAGCUUGUUAAUUGUGAAAAC
ensembl:lncRNA